CUACGGGAGGCAGCAGUGGGGAAUUUUCCGCAAUGGGCGAAAGCCUGACGGAGCAAUACUGCGUGAGGGAAGACGGCCAUGGGUUGUAAACCUCUUUUUUCAGGGAGGAAUAAAUGACGUGUACCUGAAGAAUAAGCAUCGGCUAACUCCGUGCCAGCAGCCGCGGUAAGACGGAGGAUGCAAGUGUUAUCCGGAAUCACUGGGCGUAAAGCGUCUGUAGGUGGUUAAACAAGUCAACUGUUAAAUCUUGAGGCUUAACUUCAAAAUCGCAGUCGAAACUGUUUGACUAGAGUAUAGUAGGGGUAAAGGGAAUUUCCAGUGGAGCGGUGAAAUGCGUAGAUAUUGGAAAGAACACCGAUGGCGAAGGCACUUUACUGGGCUAUUACUGACACUCAGAGACGAAAGCUAGGGUAGCAAAUGGGAUUAGAUACCCCAGUAGUCCUAGCCGUAAACAAUGGAUACUAGAUGUUGAACAGAUCGACCUGUGCAAUAUCAAAGCUAACGCGUUAAGUAUCCCGCCUGGGAAGUAUGCUCGCAAGAGUGAAACUCAAAG
rnacentral:rRNA from 1 species